rnacentral:rRNA from 1 species
UACAGAGGUCUCGAGCGUUGUUCGGAAUUACUGGGCGUAAAGGGCUCGUAGGCGGCCAACUAAGUCAGACGUGAAAUCCCUCGGCUUAACCGGGGAACUGCGUCUGAUACUGGAUGGCUUGAGAUUGGGAGAGGGAUGCGGAAUUCCAGGUGUAGCGGUGAAAUGCGUAGAUAUCUGGAGGAACACCGGUGGCGAAGGCGGCGUCCUGGACCAACACUGACACUGAGGAGCGAAAGCCAGGGGAGCAAACGGG